UACGGGGGGGGCAAGCGUUGUUCGGAUUCACUGGGCGUAAAGGGUGCGUAGGCGGUCGGGUAAGUCUGAUGUGAAAUCUCACAGCUUAACUGUGAAACUGCAUUGGAUACUAUCCGGCUAGAGGAAUGGAGGGGAGACUGGAAUACUUGGUGUAGCAGUGAAAUGCGUAGAUAUCAAGUGGAACACCAGUGGCGAAGGCGAGUCUCUGGACAUUUCCUGACGCUGAGGCACGAAAGCCAGGGGAGCAAACGGG
rnacentral:rRNA from 1 species